rnacentral:lncRNA from 1 species
AUCAAGUUGUGUGGCUAUUGGUUUCUUUGGAUUCAAGACACGAGCAUUGGAAAUUCAAAAGUUCAUGAUCAAUAAGUUACAUUACAAUCAAAAACCUUCAUUUACAAACAUCCAUUUCAUUACAAAAAGUCAAACUACAAAAUUCCAUACAAAAAAGUUACACUUGACCUAGGGUGACUCUUGGUCAACUGUUGACUUUUUGUCAACUGUUGACCAAAGUCAAACUACCUAAUCCUACUCUUUGAUCUUCAUCCUCAUUGAUCCUCCAUUUGUGUCUUCAAAGUCUUCAAAUAUUCCAUGUUCUUGAGAUAUUCCAAUUUCUUCACAACAUGCCAACCUUCAAUGCCAUGCAAGCCUAGUUCCUUUCUACCAGGUUCAUACCAGCCCUGCAUGAGCCAAUCUCAACAUGUCAGCAAUAUAUACAUACAACCAAGCCUAGUCAUGACAGCUCCAACAUACAAUGCAUUUCAAAAUUCAUCAUGCAUACCAACCAAACAUAAAUAAAUCAAACUGCCUACACAUGUACACAUACAAUUCAGCAUACAUGUAUCUUUAUCAUACACAAACCAACAACAUUCCAUAGUAGUUUCAGUGAACAUUUCAAAUUGAUAUCAAAGCAUCACUAACUUUAGCAUAACACUGCAACAUACAUCAAUACAAUAAUUAUUUCUAACUUCCAUACUAAUUAUUAAUUGGUUUAGUUCUACUAACACACUAGCAAUCACUUCAAUAAUCCAAAAGCAAUUCAAAAUCAGCUCAGCAUCAAUAUCAAACUCAUUUUAAAUUGUUCAUUCCAUAACAGUUUCGUACAAAUCAUGUGAAGUCAUAAACCCAUAACCAUGCACAUAUAUCCAAAUCAAGCAAUGAAAUUCAAAAGAGGGCAAGUGCAACAAACAUCUAGUUCAGGUCACAAAAGUGAUUCAAAUCAGGUUCAAGCAUAAUGCAAAUUCAGAGAAAUACCAAAAGCAACAAAAUAAUCACAUCAAUCAUACUAAACUCAUUCAGAUGAACCAAUUCAAGUUCUCACUAGCACUAUUCAUAAAAUGAAAACAAGUCUACUUUCACAUCACAAGUCAGAUUCCUUAACAAUUCAUUCAAAAAACUCAAAACAUCAACUAACUAGCCUAACAGUUUAACAUAAACUAGCAUACUAACUCAGUCACGAUUCACUAACCAACCUACUAACUUCAACUUUAAACUAACUUUCAUAACAAUGCACUAACAUAACAAUUAACUUACUAAUAAGCUGAUUCAACUAAAUCCGCACAUUAACUAAUUCUAACUAUCCAAAAUUCAAACAAAAUUAACUAACUUCCUCAAGUUACUACGUUUCAGUAACAUCACUCCAAAUUUCUAACUUCUCACCAAGUCAAACUAACAUUAACCUUCCAAUGCUAACAACUCACUUAACAUUCCAACCUCAAUUCAAACAAACUCCUAACUGAAUUUUUCACAUCAAUUAAGUCCAUAACUGUUAAAUCUCAAAGUAACAAAUUGUUAAUUAACAGAGUUAGAAUCUUAACAAACUCACUCAUUGAUUCACUUAACACUAACCCUUCCCUAACUGCAACAAACUCUGCCUUAAUCCUCUUCCCAAUUCAGUUACACUCACACUCUAUAUAAGCAACACUCAUCUUCAAUCUCAUUGAACAAUUGAUUCUGCAAAAGUUUCACUCUCAUCACUCUCAAUCUCUCUCACCACUCACCAAAAGCUCGAAGCUCCUUCAUUGUUGAGCAAGUUUCACAUUGAAGCUUGUUACAGCUGCGCUUAGUCUCUCUUAACACUCUACUACCCUCUACACUCUACACUUCACUCUAAUCAACAACAAAAAUACAACACAAAUUCACCCUAUAUGCUACAUCCAAGGAGAAGAAGAGGAUGGAAUUAGUGUGAAAAAGAGUAAAUAAUUCGAAGGUACCUGGAUAUUCUUCCUCCUUGAUGGUUUAAUUUUUAUUCUUAAGACUUAAGGUUCUUAUUGAUUUUGGUUUAAAUUGGAAUUUUUUUGAGUUUUGGAAGAGAUUGACGCAAGAUUUGGGGAGAGGAGAGUGAAUGGUAUCAUAUGAGGGUAUUGGUGGCCAUUUUUGAUCAGUUCAGCUGCCUCCGGUGCGGCGGAGCAAUUUCGGAUGAGGAGGUUAGAUUGAGAGAGAGAGAGAGAGAGUUCAGGUGGUUAUUUUGAAACAAAAUAAGGAUGAGUUUGGUCCCCUACACUCUUCCCUCAAGCACGUUGGGCUUCAUUGUGCUGAGCCCAUGAAGAUUUGCUAUUCACACCUCCAAAGUUGCUGAUACACGCCCAUUUCUGAAUGCAGCAACAACACCUUGGGUUUUCCAUGUUAAGCCCAAAUCC